rnacentral:rRNA from 1 species
GACGAACGCUGGCGGCGUGCUUAACACAUGCAAGUCGAACGGUAAGGCCCUUCGGGGUACACGAGUGGCGAACGGGUGAGUAACACGUGGGUGAUCUACCCUGCACUUCGGGAUCAGCCUGGGCAACUGGGUCUAAUACCGGAUAGGACCACUGCCUGCAUGGGUGGUGGUGGAAAGCUUUUGCGGUGUGGGAUGGGCCCGCGGCCUAUCAGCUUGUUGGUGGGGUGAUGGCCUAACAAGGCGACGACGGGUAGCGGGCCUGAGAGGGUGACCGGCCACACUGGGACUGAGAUACGGCCCAGACUCCUACGGGAGGCAGCAGUGGGGAAUAUUGCACAAUGGGCGCAAGCCUGAUGCAGCGACGCCGCGUGAGGGAUGACGGCCUUCGGGUUGUAAACCUCUUUCAGCACCGACGAAGCGCAAGUGACGGUAGGUGCAGAAGAAGGACCGGCCAACUACGUGCCAGCCGCCGCCGUAA